GAUGAACGCUAGCGGCAGGCUUAAUACAUGCAAGUCGAGGGGCAGCACGGAUAGCAAUAUUUGGUGGCGACCGGCGCACGGGUGCGUAACACGUAUACAACCUACCUAUAACAGGGGGAUAGCCUUUCGAAAGAGAGAUUAAUACCCCGUAAUAAAUUGAGUGGCAUCACUCGAUUUUGAAAGCUACGGCGGUUAUAGAUGGGUAUGCGUCCUAUUAGCUAGUUGGUGAGGUAACGGCUCACCAAGGCGACGAUAGGUAGGGGAUCUGAGAGGACUAACCCCCACACUGGUACUGAGACACGGACCAGACUCCUACGGGAGGCAGCAGGAAGGAAGAUUGGUCAAUGGAGGCAACUCUGAACCAGCCAUGCCGCGUGCAGGAUGACGGCCCUAUGGGUUGUAAACUGCUUUUGUACCAGAGAAAACCUACUCACGUGUGAGUAGCUGAUAGUAUGGUAAGAAUAAGCAUCGGCUAACUUCGUGCCAGCCGCCGCCGAAAAAC
rnacentral:rRNA from 1 species